rnacentral:rRNA from 1 species
UUUACUGAGAGUUUGAUCUUGGCUCAGAAUAAACGCUGGUGGCGUGUUUUAUACAUGCAAGUCGAGCGGAGAUUAGCUCGCGGUUAGAGGAGAUUUAUCUGUAGUCUCUAUGGAUGAUGAUUCUUUGACUCAGGCUAAUCUUAGCGGCGGACGGGUGAGUAACGCGUGGAUAAUCUGCCCCUGAGUGGGGAAUAACUUUCCGAAAGGGAUGCUAAUACCGCAUAAUGUUAUUCCACCUCGGUAGGAUAACCAAAGUUAGACUCUUUGAGUCUUUCGCUCAGGGAUGAGUCCGCGUCCUAUUAGCUAGUUGGUGAGGUAACGGCCCACCAAGGCGACGAUGGGUAGCCGGCCCGAGAGGGUGUUCGGCCACACUGGGACUGAGACACGGCCCAGACUCCUACGGGAGGCAGCAGUAGG